AUUGAACGCUGGCGGCAGGCCUAACACAUGCAAGUCGAGCGAGCGGCGGACGGGGGAGUAAUGUAUGGGGCCUGCCCGAUAGAGGGGGAUAAAUACUGGAAACGAUGGCUAAUACCGCAUACAAUCGGAUAACCCAUAUGGGAUUAGCUAGUAGGUGGGGUAAAGACUCACCUAGUCGACGAUCGCUAGCUGGUCUGAGAGGAGGAUCAGCCACACGGGAACUGAAACCCGGCCCAGACUCCUACGGAGGCCGCAGUGGGGAAGAUUGCACAAUAGGCGAGAGCCUGAUGCAGCCAUGCCGCGUGUAUGAAGAAGGCCUUUGGAUUGGAAAGUACUUUCAGCGGGGAGGCGUUACCCGCAGAAGAAGCACCGGCUAACUCCGUGCCAGCCGCCGCGGUAAUUC
rnacentral:rRNA from 1 species